CAGUCGCCACGGUAAUACGGAGGGUGCGAGCGUUAAUCGGAAUAACUGGGCGUAAAGGGCACGCAGGCGGUGACUUAAGUGAGGUGUGAAAGCCCCGGGCUUAACCUGGGAAUUGCAUUUCAUACUGGGUCGCUAGAGUACUUUAGGGAGGGGUAGAAUUCCACGUGUAGCGGUGAAAUGCGUAGAGAUGUGGAGGAAUACCGAAGGCGAAGGCAGCCCCUUGGGCCAAUACUGACGCUCAUGCACGAAAGCGUGGGGAGCAAACGGGAUUAGAUACCCGCGUAGUCCCUGUCUCUUAUAC
rnacentral:rRNA from 1 species